ACCACCUGAGUUGGGUAUGACUACCUGCUGAACUUAAGCAUAUCAGUAAGCAGAGGAAAAGAAACAAACAUGGAUUCCCUGAGUAACUGCGAGUGAAACGGGAAGAGCCCAGCGCUAAAGGUUGUUGGCUUCUGGCUGAUGACCGGUGUAGCGUAUAGAACCUUCGUUCGGCUUGUUCAGGCUGGCUUAAGUCUCGUUGGAACGCGGCGGCUAAGACGGUUUUACCCCGGUAAACCUGGCUGGACUUGGUGAGUGUUGGUUCUGGGAGUCGGGUUGUUUGGAAACGCAGCCCAAAGUUGGUGGUAAACUUCACCUAAGGCUAAAUACGACCGCGAGACCGAUAGAAAACAAGUACCGUGAGGGAAAGUUGAAAAGUACUUUGAAAAGAGAGUGCAAGAGAACGUGAAACCGGUGUAAUGGAAGCGAAUGGAGCCGACGUAUCUAGUGCGUAUUCAGCCUUCUGGGCGCGUGAUUGGUGUUUGUGCAUUGCCGCAAGGUGUGCCUGGCGCUAUUGUCGCGUGUUCGGUUGGUGCAUUUGCGUACGGAGUGCGCCGGGUUGUGUGGUGUUGUCGGACGAUGCGCGUUUAGAGGACCCGGGCUUCGGCGCUGGGAACCCUGGGCGUGUGGAGUUCGGUUGGCGCUGCGCAGCUUUGUGGAGACGUGGGUUUUUCGCGUGCCGCGGUGUCGACAGGCUCGGUUCGGGUGGUACACAUGUGUGCAGCCCUUAUGGGGUCGGUCGGUGUUGUGGUGUGCUCUGCGUUCUUCCCGGUGUUCAGUCGGUGACCCAUUCGACCCGUCUUGAAACACGGACCAAGGAGUUUAUGGUAUGCGCAAGUCAUUGGGUUUGUCGAAGCCUAAAGGCGUAAUGAAAGUGAGACAUUACUUGUCUGAACGUGACUGGGUGCGGCAUUCGUGCGGCCCAAGCAACGUUGCCCCGUUUCGAGGACUUGUCCUGAUGCGGAGGUUGAGCGUAUGCUAUGAGACCCGAAAGAUGGUGAACUAUGCCUGAACAGGACGAAGCCAGAGGAAACUCUGGUGGAAGUCCGAAGCGGUUCUGACGUGCAAAUCGAUCGUCUGAUUUUGGUAUAGGGGCGCAAGACUAAUCGAACCAUCUGGUAGCUGGUUUCCUCCGAAGUUUCCCUCAGGAUAGCUGGUGCACAUUCAAACAGAUAUACUCGGUAAAGCGAACGAUUAGAGUUCUUGGGAUGUAUUAUUCUCAGACUAUUCUCAAACUCUAAAUGGUUAUGAUGUUGGUGUUGCUUAAUUGAACACUGACUUUGAUUGUUGUGCUCCAAGUGGGCCAUUUUUGGUAAGCAGAACUGGCGAUGUGGGAUGAACCAAACGCGGAGUUACGGUGCCUAACUAUUCGCUCAUGAGACCCCAUGAAAGGUGUUGGUUGAUAUAGACAGCAGGACGGUGGCCAUGGAAGUCGGAAUCCGCUAAGGAGUGUGUAACAACUCACCUGCCGAAUCAACUAGCCCUGAAAAUGGAUGGCGCUCGAGCGAAUGACCUAUACUCUGCCGUCGUUGAGACCCGAGCAAUCUCUCGACGAGUAGGAGGUACGUUGUAAUGGCGUUGAAGUUGUUGGGCGUGAGCCCGAAUGGAGCCGUUAUGAGUGCAGAUCUUGGUUGUAGUAGCAAAUAUUCAAGUGAGAUCCUUGAAGACUGAAGUGGAGAAGGGUUCCGCGUGCACAGUGAUUGUACGUGGGUUAGCCGAUCCUAAGGCACAGGCUAAUGCUGGAUUUGAAGUUGUGGCGUUAAAUUCACUUGUGGAUUGCGCUGCAUUCGCCGAAAGGGAAGCGGGUUAAUAUUCCCGCGUCGUGACGAGGAGAUUGGCUUCACUUCGGUGUUGUCGAAGCGCGGUAACGCAAAUGAACUUGCCGACGCUGCUUGGAGUCCGGGCUAGAGAUCUCUUUUCUAGUUUAAGCUUUCAUGACCAUGGAAUCGGUUCAUCCGGAGAUAUGGUUGCUGAGGCUGUAGAGCACUGCGGUUGCUGCGGUGUCCCGUGCACUCCAUGUGGCCCUUGAAAAGGUAAGGGAAGCUUAAUGAAUUUCUCGCACGAUCGUACCAAUAUCCGCAGCAGGUCUCCAAGGUGUGCAGCCUCUAGUUGAUGGAAUAAUGUAGAUAAGGGAAGUCGGCAAAUUAGAUUCGUAACUUCGGGAAAAGAAUUGGCUCUAGAGAUUGGGCUAGUCGGGUUGUUACGUGAUGCUUAUGGGCUGCGUUCGUGACUGGGCGGCGAGCUUCGGUGAGCUGUUCGGGCUAGUAGCGUGGCCCGUAGGUGGAUCGUUUCAGCUUGGUCUGCGUUCGUUUCGGCGUGCGUAGUCUUCGGCUAGCGCUUAACAAUCGAAUCUAGAACUGGUACGGACUGGGGGAAUCCGACUGUCUAAUUAAAACAGAGGAGACAGAUGGUCUCUGAAAGACGUUGACUGUCUCUGAUUUCUGCCCAGUGCUCUGAAUGUUAAUUUAAGGAAAUUUGAGUAAGCGCGGGUAAACGGCGGGAGUAACUAUGACUCUCUUAAGGUAGCCAAAUGCCUCGUCAUUUAAUUAGUGACGCGUAUGAAUGGAUUAACGAGAUUCCCACUGUCCCUAACUACUAUCUAGCGAAACCACAGCCAAGGGAACGGGCUUGGCAAAGACAGCGGGGAAAGAAGACCCUGUUGAGCUUGACUCUAGUCUGACUUUGUGAAGAAUCAUGCAUGGUGUAGUAUAAGUGGGAGUGUUUCGGCACGUCAGUGAAAUACCACUACUUUCAUCGUUUCCUUACUUAUUCGGUAAUACGGGGAACGUUUUCUCUGAAAACUUGUGAUUGAUUUUAAGCCGGCGUACUUGGUGCGCCGGCGACCCGCGCCGAUGACAUUGUCAGGCGGGGAGUUUGACUGGGGCGGUACAUCUAUCAAACAGUAACGUAGGUGUCCUAAGGUAAGCUCAGUAAGGACGGAAACCUUACGUAGAGUAAAAGGACAAAAGCUUACUUGAUCUUGAUUUUCAGUACGAAUACAGACCGCGAAAGCGUGGCCUAUCGAUCCUUUCGAUUUGUAAAGUUUACAGCAAGAGGUGUCAGAAAAGUUACCACAGGGAUAACUGGCUUGUGGCAGCCAAGCGUCCAUAGCGACGUUGCUUUUUGAUCCUUCGAUGUCGGCUCUUCCUAUCAUUGCGUAGCAGAAUGCGCAAAGCGUUGGAUUGUUCACCCACUAAUAGGGAACGUGAGCUGGGUUUAGACCGUCGUGAGACAGGUUAGUUUUAUCCUACUGUCAAAGAGUUGUUGCAAUAGUAAUCUUGCUUAGUACGAGAGGAACAGCAGGUUCAGACAAUUGGUUUAUGGGCUCGUCCGAUAGGACGAUGGUCCGAAGCUACCAUCUGCGGGAUUAUAACUGAAUGCCUCUAAGUUAGAAGCCCGUCUAGUUAGGUAAACAAUGUUUUGUACCCCGGCUUCGUGUGGUACGUUUAUGCCUCGGCGCUCGCCGCCGUUGCAGCCUUUACCCUAUAUUUGACCUUGCAGGUCGGUUUAAUUACUGGCUUGUUGUCGAAUCCAUACGACUUUGUGUGGUUGAUUGUCAGGGUGUAAGAUCGCUUGUAGACGACUUGACUACUGGUCAGGGGGUUGUACGCAGCAGAGCAGUUAUUACACUGCGAUCUGUUGAGACUAUCCUUU
rnacentral:rRNA from 1 species